rnacentral:rRNA from 1 species
AGAGUUUGAUCCUGGCUCAGAUUGAACGCUGGCGGCAUGCCUUACACAUGCAAGUCGAACGGCAGCACGGACUUCGGUCUGGUGGCGAGUGGCGAACGGGUGAGUAAUGCAUCGGAACGUGCCCUGAAGUGGGGGAUAACGUAGCGAAAGUUACGCUAAUACCGCAUAUUCUGUGAGCAGGAAAGCAGGGGAUCGCAAGACCUUGUGCUUUAGGAGCGGCCGAUGUCGGAUUAGCUAGUUGGUGAGGUAAAGGCUCACCAAGGCAACGAUCCGUAGCGGGUCUGAGAGGAUGAUCCGCCACACUGGGACUGAGACACGGCCCAGACUCCUACGGGAGGCAGCAGUGGGGAAUUUUGGACAAUGGGCGCAAGCCUGAUCCAGCCAUGCCGCGUGAGUGAAGAAGGCCUUCGGGUUGUAAAGCUCUUUCGGCGGGGAAGAAAUCGCAUUCACUAAUACUGGAUGUGGAUGACGGUACCCGAAUAAGAAGCACCGGCUAACUACGUGCCAGCCGCCGCGGUAAUAC